rnacentral:rRNA from 1 species
UACGGAGGGAGCUAGCGUUGUUCGGAAUUACUGGGCGUAAAGCGCACGUAGGCGGCUUUGUAAGUUAGAGGUGAAAGCCCGGGGCUCAACUCCGGAACUGCCUUUAAGACUGCAUCGCUUGAAUCCAGGAGAGGUAAGUGGAAUUCCGAGUGUAGAGGUGAAAUUCGUAGAUAUUCGGAAGAACACCAGUGGCGAAGGCGGCCACCUGGACGACAACUGACGCUGAGACGCGAAAGCGUGGGUAGCAAACAGG